UUGCCACCUCUCCGCCGUCAUACAUCAUCUUCAUUUCUACUGUCAUCUCCAUCAUGUUCGCCUUCGUAUACUUCACUGUUGUCGUUGUGAAUGGAGUUGGUGUGCCACGACCAAAAGAAGCUUCACAAUGGUGGCUAUGAAGCAUCACCACCAGAUUCAUCAUGUAACGGCCCGGUUUCUGGCCAGUAAAAUUUCCCAAAGAAUAUGGGCUUCUCUACGGCCCAUUUGGCAAAA
rnacentral:lncRNA from 1 species